GACGAACGCUGGCGGCGUGCUUAACACAUGCAAGUGGAGCGACGAACCGGGGGCUUGCCCCGGGGCAGAGCCGCGAACGGGUGAGUAACACGUGGGUAACCCACCCCGACUGACCGGGACGAACCCGACGGAAACUACGGGCGUAAUACCGGAUGUGCUCCUUGACUCGAGGUCAAGGCGUAAAGAUAGCUUCGGCCUUCGCAUCGGGACGGGGCCCG
rnacentral:rRNA from 1 species